AUCUAUGGCCAUACUACCCUGAACGCGCCCUAUCUCGUCUGAUCUCAGAAGCUAAGCAGGGUCGGGCCUGGUUAGUACUUGGAUGGGAGAUUAGUGGUUGCCAGGGGCUGGAGGGA
ensembl:rRNA 5S_rRNA 5S ribosomal RNA